ACUCCUACGGGAGGCAGCAGUGGGGAAUAUUGCGCAAUGGGCGAAAGCCUGACGCAGCGACGCCGCGUGGGUGAUGAAGGCCUUCGGGUCGUAAAGCCCUGUCGGGGGGGACGAAACCUCUCGGUGUUAAUACCACCGGGACCUGACGGUACCCCCUAAGGAAGCACCGGCUAACUCCGUGCCAGCAGCCGCGGUAAUACGGAGGGUGCGAGCGUUGUUCGGAAUCACUGGGCGUAAAGCGCGUGUAGGCGGCCUUUUAAGUCUGAUGUGAAAGCCCGGGGCUUACCCCCGGAAGUGCAUUGGAAACUGGGAGGCUAGAGUACCGGAGAGGAAGGUGGAAUUCCUGGUGUAGCGGUGAAAUGCGUAGAUAUCAGGAGGAACACCAGUGGCGAAGGCGGCCUUCUGGACGGAUACUGACGCUGAGACGCGAAAGCGUGGGGAGCAAACAGGAUUAGAUACCCUGGUAGUCCACGCUGUAAACGAUGGGCACUAGGUGUUCGGGGUAUUGACCCCCUGAGUGCCGCAGCUAACGCAUUAAGUGCCCCGCCUGGGG
rnacentral:rRNA from 1 species